rnacentral:lncRNA from 1 species
UUUUUUUUUUUUUUAUUAUUUUCCCACUGUACAGCAAGGGGGUCAGGUCAUCCUUAGAUGUAUACAUUGCAGUUACAGUUUUUUUCCCCCAAGUUAGAGGAUUUUGGAUACAAAUUCCUUUUUUUUGCCUGUCUUUUCUAGGGCUGAACCCAAGGCAUGUGGAGGUUCCCAGGCUAGGGGUCUAAUUGGAGCUGUAGCCACCAGCCUACACUACACCACAGCCACAGCAAUGCCAGAUCCAAGCUGCAUCUGCAACCUACACCACAGCUCACGAUCUGGCGUUGCUGUGGCUCUGGUGUAGGCCGGCAGCUGUAGCUCUGAUUUGACCCCUACCUGGGAAUAUCCAUAUGCUGUGGGUGCAGCCCUGAAAAAGAUUUUAAGACAAACAAACAAACUAGGUUUAGGCUAGAUAUUGAAUGUAUUUUGGUUUAAUUAAUGUGGUGUUUCUGAGUUUAUUGUGUGCAGGUCAAGGAGAUCUGUCACAAAAUCUUUUGCUUCCUAGAAUGUUACCUUUCUUCCUUAAAGUGAGAUAAAGCAGUUGAGCCAAUUGUGACAAAGUUUACUGCUCCUCUCUGAGUUUCACAAGUAACUGAGCCAAGAAAAAAGUCCUUCCUUCUAAUAAUCUGGGGAGAGGAGGCUCUCUUCUGACAGACAGCAGUGGGUGGGGGGUGGCACUGUAAAUUGUCUUCACUCUCCAGGGCUGCCACGGUUUGACAUUUCACUUCCAUCCUCUUUGGAUGAUGUCCUGAGACCUGUCAUCUUUACCCUCCCUGAACAAGAACCUUGGCAGGAGGCCUAGGGCAACAUAAUCAUUAAUUCUGUAUCUGGCACUAGCCACAUCCUGCCAAGGGGAGAAUGGCCUGACCAGAUGAGUAUCUUGUAUUGGUUCAGAGUGGAAGAAUGACGGGAGAGGUGGAGGGUGCCACUUCCUUCUUCAGUGCCAUCUUCUAUGACAGCAUUGGUAGAAUGAAACCAGUGGCCUGGUGGUGACUAACAUUCUCUUUGUGAACAAUUAAGAGCUAGCUGUUAGGGAGUUCCUGUCAUGAUGCAUCAGAAACAAAUCCAACUAGGAACCAUGAGGUUGCGGGUUCGAUCUCUCUGGCUUCCCUCAGUGGGUUAAGGAUCUGUCAUUGCCUUGAGCUGUGGUGUAGGUCACAGAUGCAGCUUGGAUCUGGCAUUGCUGUGGCUGUGGCUGUGGCCAGCAGCAACAGCUCUGAUUAGAGCCCUAGCCUGGGAACCUCCAUAUGCCUUGAGGUGGCCCUAAAAGGACCAAAAAAAACCAAAAAAACAAAAAAAAAACCAAAAACCAAAAAAAAAACAAAAAAAAAAUCUAGCUGUUAUUGUGAGAAAAACAAUGUAUAUAUAUAUUUAUGUCUGUGUGUGACUGGGUCACUUUGCUGUAUAGCAGAAAACUGACAGAACACUGUAAACCAAAUAUAAUGGAAAAAAUAAAAAUCACUAAAAAAACAAAAAACAAAAAACCACCUAGCUAUUGGUGUUUGCUACACAGUAAUUACCAGCUGGUCCAGGUUCUGCAAAGGUCCAAGAUGUAUUUUGGGAAUCAUUAUUGUCUUUUAUUUUUUUAAUUUUUAAAAUCUUUAUUUUUUUUUUGCUUUUAAGGGCCGCAUCUGCGGCUUAGGGAGGUUCCCAGACUAGGGGUCAAAUCGAAGCUGCAGCUGCCGGCCUACACCACAGCCACAGUGACACAGGAUCUGAGCUGCAUCUGCGACCUACACCACAGCUCAGGGCAACGCCGGAUCCUUACCCACUGAGCGAGGCCGGGGAUGGAACCUGCAAACUCAUGGUUCCUAGUUGGAUUUGUUUCUGCUGAGCCAUGAUGGGAACACAUUAUUGUCUUUUA